ACUCGCCCGGUUGAGAUUAUUUGGCAGUUUAUAAUUUUAAAAAAUCCCUAAUACAUUCUAAGCAGUACAUUCUAAUUGCUCAAAAAUUAAGGUUGUAUUUGGAUUUUAUUUCAGUUUUGGGUACAUAAAUACUACUUAAUUAAAAACUCUAAGGAAUUAAAUACGAAACACAAUAAUAUGAAAUUAUUCAGAUUAUACAAACAAAUACAGAAUAAAUCAGUAAAACAAUACAUACAACCAAAAAACAAAAAUACUUAUAUACACAUACACAAAAAAUAACAUAAAUACAUUAUUAUAAAUACAAUAACAUAAAUACAUUAUCAAAUACAUUAUUGCAUAUACUGUCGUAGUUUUAUACCAGAGCAGGAGCUUGAAAAGCGAGGCUAUCAGUUUGAAGGAGAUCACACAUGAAAAAUACAUACACAAUAUAUAAAAAUACAUUAAUAAAUACAUUAAUCAAAUACAUUAUCGCAUAUACAUUUAAAGACAAAUCACCAUACAAUAUUUCAUAAAAUUAUAUAACAAUGGCUAAGCACGGUUAAAAACAUUUACUAAAAUACAAUAAAAAUGUAAAUACAUAUACAAUUAAUCUAAACAAAACGAUACUACAAUGUUUGGAGGGGUCAUGCCGGUUUUUUUCCAAAAAUCGUUAUAAUAAUCAGGGUUGCGUCGUAAUUACGAAUUACGAAUUACGGUGUUUUUUCAGUUACGAAUUACGAUUACGAAAAUUUUUUUAAAAUUACGAAUUACGGUUACGAAAAUAUCAGGAGAAUUACGAAUUACGAAAAUAAAUUUGCCAUUAAAUUUUAGAAUGAAAAGGGGGAGUUACUGUGCGAAGGGGUCAUGCCCAUUUUUUUCAACAAUUGUUUCAAUAAUUACUACAAUUAAAUAACUACUAUUUAAACAACCACUUUUACUAUUUCUACGACCACUUUUCGUUUUCUUUCUUGCUUAAUUCCCUUUCCUUUAUUUUUCUCAUGAUGGCGCAUAGCUUGGGGUUGCAUUUGGUCCAUUUCUCUUUUCGCCUCGACUUAUAUUAUUAUAAAAGUGGUUGUUUGUUGAGUACAAUUGUAGAAGUGGCUGUGUGCUGGCGGAAAUGUAAAAUAAAGUGGUUGUUUGCUGAGGAAAUGGAAAAGAAGAAUGUAUAGGAAAAUAAAUAAUUCCCGACUUAGCAUAUUUCAAGUCCUUCCGGGCUUCUUGGUUCCUUUUGAUGCAAAUUCUUAUCAUCCAAUCAUCAUGUUUAUGGUACAAUCUGAAGACUCAAAUGUUCAACUUUGAUUUUUAAAUGUUUUAAAUCGAUGUCAUCAUUCUAAAAGACGCUUCGGAUGGAUUAAUGGAUAAGCGGACAAAGACGGGAUUUGAUUCGGGAAUAUGGGAUUAAACUGGUGACAGCUAGGCACUAAUAUUUUAGCAUGAAGGGGGUUUGACAAAAUUCCCGACUGGAAAUUGCUUAUCGCUUGGAUCUCGAUGAAAGAGAAAAAAAAUUUGAUACUAAAUGUAGCCUCUGGGCUGAAUUGGUGAAGUGAAAAGUUGAUAUUUUGUGUUGAGACGAAGCGUCCUCGUUGAAGGAUCUUAAUUUUAUGCCAAUUCAUUGCGGAAUUGGCAAGACAAGCAAUCGGUCGGUUCGAUGCACACUUUUGAGUGCUCGUAAAGCCAGCAAGUGACCCGAGAUUGGUUGUGAGACCAAAUCUGUCUCGCCUCGUGUGUCAUUCUGGCGCCGACUCUGCUCAAGUGCUUUAUCGUUCAGCUAUUGCUUUUUUGGGUAAGAUUUGAUACUUCCAGAAUUCGGUAGUGAAUCUUACCUGAUUACGAGAUAUCUGGUUGAUCCUGCCUGAACUGAUGUGUUCAUUUCAAAGAUUAAGCCAUGCAUGUAUAAGUUUAAUCGUUUUAACGAGAAACCGCGAACGGCUCAUUACAAUGGCCAUGAUUUACUUGAUCUUGAUUAUCUAAAUGGAUAACUGUGGAAAAGCUAGAGCUAAUACAUGCACCAAAGCUUUGUCCUCUCGGAAAAGCGCAUUUAUUAGAACAAAACCACGCGGCUUCGGCUGCUUCUUGUUGACUCAGAAUAACUAAGCUGACCGCAUGGCCUUGUGCCGGCGGCGUGUCUUUCAAGCGUCCACUUUAUCAACUUGACGGGAGCAUAAUCGACUCCCGUGGUGGUGACGGAUAACGGAGGAUCAGGGUUCGACUCCGGAGAAGGGGCCUGAGAAAUGGCCACUACGUCUAAGGAUGGCAGCAGGCGCGCAAAUUACCCACUCUCGGCUCGAGGAGGUAGUGACGAGAAAUAACGAGAUCGUUCUCUUUGAGGCCGGUCAUCGGAAUGGGUACAAUUUAAACCCUUUAACGAGUAUCAAGCAGAGGGCAAGUUAUCAAGCAGAGGGCAACUUUGGCGUUGAAUACGAGCUCCAAGUGGGCCAUUUUUGGUAAGCAGAACUGGCGAUGUGGGAUGAACCAAACGCGGAGUUGCGGUGCCAAAGUGCCCGCUCAUUAGACCCCAUAAAAGGUGUUGGUUGAUACAGACAGCAGGACGGUGGCCAUGGAAGUCGGAAUCCGCUAAGGAGUGUGUAACAACUCACCUGCCGAAUCAACUAGCCCUGAAAAUGGAUGGCGCUGGAGCGGGCCACCUAUACUCUGCCGUCAUAUGCUUGUAUUCCGUGAAGAGUCUUGCAAUGACGUGUAAGAGGGUCGUAGUGGUUGCGUUGAAGGCUUUGGGUGUGCACCCAGCUGGAGCUUCCACUAGUGCAGAUCUUGGUGGUAGUAGCAAAUAUUCAAGUGAGAUCCUUGAAGACUGAAGUGGAGAAGGGUUCCACGUGAACAGCAGUUGAAUGUGGGUCAGUCGAUCCUAAGGCACCGGCUAAAGCCGUCUAGACACUGCGGGGAGAUGAGAUACUUAACGGUAUUUUGUCCACCCGGUUGCCGAAAGGGAAGUGGGUUAAUAUUCCCACACCAGGCAUGGGAGAUGGUGAUCCGCAAGGAUUACUUUGCGCGGUGACGCAAACGAACUCGUAGACCUCGUGUGGAGUCCGGGCCAGAGUUCUCUUUUCUGGUUUAGAGAUCAUGUCCCUGGAAGUGGCUCAGCCUGAGAUAGGGAUGCUGGUCUCGUAAAGCGCAGCGGUUCCUGUUGUGUCCCGUGUGCUCCACAUGAGCCGUGAAAAUGCGAGGGAGGCAAUUUAAAAUCUCCUGCCUGAUCGUACCCAUAUCCGCAGCAGGUCUCCAAGGUGAACAGCCUCUAGUCGAUAGAAUAAUGUAGGUAAGGGAAGUCGGCAAAUUAGAUUCGUAACUUCGGGAAAAGAAUUGGCUCUAAAGGUUGGGUCAGUCGGGCUGUUGUGUGAAACAGGUGGACUUUGCUCGUGGCUGCUUGCGCUUCUUCUUACGGGGCGGCGCUUGUGGACUAGUAGUGAGGACUGCUUGUGGAGCGCUUCAGCUGCGUGCUAUUUCGCAAGAUAUAGUACUUCGAUUGGCGCUGAACAACCAGUUUAGAACUGGCACGAACUCCGGGAAUCCGACUGUCUAAUUAAAACAGAGGAGACGGAUGGUCCUUGCAGGACGUUGACCGUGUCUGAUUUCUGCCCAGUGCUCUGAAUGUUAAGCCAAGGAAACUUGAUUAAGCGCGGGUAAACGGCGGGAGUAACUAUGACUCUCUUAAGGUAGCCAAAUGCCUCGUCGGCUAACUACCGACGCGCACGAAUGGAUCAACGAGAUUCCCACUGUCCCUAUCUACUAUCUAGCGAAACCACAGCCAAGGGAACGGGCUUGGCAAAUUUAGCGGGGAAAGAAGACCCUGUUGAGCUUGACUCUAGUCUGACUUUGUGAAGAAUCAUGAGAGGUGUAGCAUAAGUGGGAGUCGCAAGACAACAGUGAAAUACCACUACUUUCAUCGAUUCCUUACUUAAUCGGUAAAACGGGAGUUGUGUCUAAGGACCUUCAUUUUUGUUUUAAGACUAGCCACUCGGUGGUUGGUUGACUCGCGCCGAUGACAUUGUCAGGCGGGGAGUUUGACUGGGGCGGUACAUCUGUCAAAUUGUAACGCAGGUGUCCUAAGGCGAGCUCAGAGAGGACGGAAACCUCUCGUUGAGCAAAAAGGCAAAUGCUUACUUGAUCUUGAUUUUCAGUACGAAUACAGACCGCGAAAGCGUGGCUUAUCGAUCCUUUUGAGUUUGUAAAGUUUACAGCAAGAGGUGUCAGAAAAGUUACCACAGGGAUAACUGGCUUGUGGCGGCCAAGCGUCCAUAGCGACGUCGCUUUUUGAUCCUUCGAUGUCGGCUCUUCCUAUCAUUGCGAAGCAGAAUUCGCCAAGCGUUGGAUUGUUCACCCACCAAUAGGGAACGUGAGCUGGGUUUAGACCGUCGUGAGACAGGUUAGUUUUACCCUACUAAAUACUUGUUGCUAUGAUGGUAAUCCUGCUUAGUACGAGAGGAACCGCAGGUUCAGACAUUUGGUUCAUGUGCUUGGUCGAUAGGCCAAUGGCGCGAAGCUACCAUCUGAGGGAUUAUGACUGAACGCCUCUAAGUCAGAAUCCCGCCCAGUCAUGAUAGCAAUAUAUAUCGCUCUCCGGUGUCGGAAGGCAAAAUGUAUGCCACUUUUUUUGUGGUAGUACAAGCCCCAGUAUCUGGCAUUUUCUUUCUACUAUAAUUGGUAGUUGGUUGCUAAAAGCUUAGCACUCCUCGUGCAGGUGUAACGUCGGGGCGCAAAAUCACUUGUAUACGACUUGAAUACUGGUCAGGGGGUUGUAUCAGUAGAGCAGCUCUUCGCUGCGAUCUGUUGAGACUUAGCCCUUGAUCGGAUGAUUUGUCUUUUUUAUACACUAUAGACCUGUUUAUUAAGGAAUUAUGGCGCGUCCCCGCAAAAUCCGAUACGGGGGUACUAAGUACCAACAACUAUACGAAGACCCUUUUUGUACAAGCUUCGUAUAUCCGUUCAACGAUUGCUUUACUAUGCCUGUUUAAAUUUGCAAAUUAAGUUAAAAAAAUGAGUAAAUACAUUUUAAAAGUCCGAUUAUUAUUUCGGACUUUAUUAUUUUUACUUAUUAUCCGAUUAUUAUUCCGGGUACUCCAACUUCCCUUAAAUGCAGACACGAAUUAAGCGUAAACGGCAAAAGCUUAAAAGAGUAAAUCGGCCAUCGUAAACCGAAUCGUGAACACCUCCUGGCCAUUUGCAGCUAAAUGAGUAAAUACAAUAUAACCGAUGUGCCAAAAUUGCAAAACAGUUUGUGUCCAAUCAGUGCAUGUUGGAAUUUAAUGUGGAUCGAGUCUGUUUUUUAUAUGACAAAAAGUACCUGGGGAUUUACUACUAAUUGAAAAAAUUUUUGAAUUUUAUUUAUGAUGGGUUGGUGUAGCUUUUAUUGAGAUCUCAAAAUCCCGAAAUCAACGGAAUAUUUUAACCUACUUAGGGGUAUAAAAAAUUUUUCUCAGGCCUCCAGAAAGCUCACAAAAAUUUUUACAAAAAACACUUGGUCCCAUCUUGGGGAUGAAUUGAGGAGUCAUCAGUUAUAUGUGCGAAUAAAAAAUUCACUCAAAUUACCCCACAGAUUUCCACAGGAAUUCCUAUUAAACCCCAUGAAACCAGCUGAAUUUCGCAUUGAUUAAAUUACAUUUUUUUCGACCCUGGAACCCUUGAAAAAAAUAGUUUAGAUUAAGCUGAACACUUUCAAGCCAGUUAAGCAGCUCAAGAACAAAUCUAGUUCUACCUGCAACAUGUAAUGUAUAUUGUACAUUCUAUCUUGCAACACUUCUUCCACCCUAUUAUUAUAAGGCCGAGUUAUGGCCCUAAUUGAGCAAUAAUCGCAUAAUUGCAC
rnacentral:rRNA from 1 species